rnacentral:rRNA from 1 species
AGUCAAGAUACUAAGGGCACAUGGGGGAUGCCUUGGUGCCAGAAGCCGAAGAAAGGCGUAGUAAGACUGCGAUAAGCCCCGAAUAGCUGCCUAACAAGCUUAGUCGGGGAUACCUGAAUGGGGAAACCCAUCUACUUCGGUAGAUGCUGUUUAAUUACAGCGGUAAGCAGGGGAACUGAAACAUCUAAGUACCCUGAGGAAAGGAAAUCAACCGAGACUCUCUUAGUAGCGGCGAGCGAAAAGGGAAUAGCCUAAACCAUAUAAUCCUAACGGACUGGAGUCUUAUGAUUAUGUGGUGUUGUAGGGCUAAUCAUUAAAAAUCUCCAGGUUUUUAAAAAAGUUACAAAACGUACAUUUAGUCGAACAGUUUGGAAAAGCUGGUCGUAGAAGGUGAAAGCCCUGUAGACGAAAAGUGUGCGACUUUUGAUUAGUUCCUGAGUACGACGGGACACGUGAAAUCUUGUUGGAAUCUGGGGGGACCAUCCUCCAAGGCUAAGUACUUCUGGCGACCGAUAGUGAACUAGUACCGUGAGGGAAAGGUGAAAAGAACCCCGUGAGGGGAGUGAAAUAGAACUGAAACCAUGUGCCUACAAACCGUAGAAGCUGUAUUUAUACAGUGACUGCGUGCCUAUUGAAGAAUGAGCCAACGAGUUACGUUAUGUGGCAGGUUAAGGCGUUUAAGCGCUGGAGCCGCAGCGAAAGCGAGUCUGAAUAGGGCUAUUUCGUCGCAUGGCGUAGACCCGAAACCGUGUGAGCUACCCUUGGCCAGGUUGAAGCGGAAGUAAAAUUUCGUGAAGGACCGAACCCUUGUAAGUUACAAAUUGCUGGGAUGAGCUGAGGGUAGGGGUAAAAUGCCAAUCGAACACGGAGAUAGCUGGUUCUCCCCGAAAUGUAUUUAGGUACAGCGUCAAGUUUACUUUGCGGAGGUAGAUCACUGGAUGGGCUAGGGGGCGUGAGCUUACCAAACCCAACCAAAAUCCGAAUACCGUAAAGCGUAGCUUGGCAGUGAGACAGUGAAGGAUAAGCUCCAUUGUCGAAAGGGAAACAGCCCAGAUCGCAAGCUAAGGUCCCGAAGUGUGUGCUAAGUGUGAAACGAAGUGGGAACGCCCAGACAGCCAGGAGGUUGGCUUAGAAGCAGCCACCCUUUAAAGAAAGCGUAACAGCUCACUGGUCGAGCGAACCUGCACCGAAAAUUUAACGGGGCUCA